rnacentral:rRNA from 1 species
AGAAUCAACGCUGGCGGCGUGCCUAACACAUGCAAGUCGAACGAGAAAGUGGUAGCAAUACCAUGAGUAAAGUGGCGCACGGGUGAGUAACACGUGACUAACCUACCCUUGAGUGGGGGAUAACUGAGGGAAACCUUAGCUAAUACCGCAUAAUACCCACGGGUCAAAGGAACAAUUCGCUCGAGGAGGGGUCGCGGCCGAUUAGUUAGUUGGCGGGGUAAUGGCCCACCAAGACGAUGAUCGGUAUCCGGCCUGAGAGGGCGCACGGACACACUGGAACUGAAACACGGUCCAGACUCCUACGGGAGGCAGCAGUGGGGAAUUUUGCGCAAUGGGGGAAACCCUGACGCAGCAACGCCGCGUGGAGGAUGAAGUCCUUCGGGACGUAAACUCCUUUCGAUCGGGACGAUUAUGACGGUACCGGAUGAAGAAGCACCGGCUAACUCUGCGCCAGCAGCCGC